rnacentral:lncRNA from 1 species
GGUGAGGAAAAUACAGAAAGUAAAGUUCUUUCCAUAUGUAGGCUGGCGUCUGAUUUUUUCUGAAGUCUACUUUGUUACUCACGGCCACGGCUUGGUUCUACAUGUAAUAUUCUCUUUCUUCCUUCCUCGUUCGCAUUUUUUUCUUUUCAUUCUUCGUUCUGCAGUCUUUUCUCAAGAGGAGGGGAGGAGAGGUGGAGCGUGGAGCGUGGAGCAUUGGAUGUGCUAAUUGAGGUUGACGCCGUGAUGAGGAAAAAAAGUUUAACCAAAUUUUAUGAUGCCAUCAUGGAGGUACGUAGGAAAAGAAAAAGAAGAGAGAAAACUCAGAAAACGAGUAACAAACAGAGAAAACAAAAGUACAAACUUAAUACACAAAGAUUAAAAAUGAGAUUGAACUUAUCACAUAAUAGAAACGAUAAUGUCUUGAUUGAAGACCAACCAUUUGCCACUUGGUCUGAUCACCACUACCCUAAAAAGAUUAAAUUCCUUUCUUUUGGACCUAGCAGCAGCUCACAAUGCCGUCCUCGGUACUCAUGGUAUUAUAUUACAAUGUCGCCUGCCCACUGCAACAAUUUCUCCAAAUUGGCGUCUCUUUCCAGACAAGACUCUGAAACUCAAAGUCGUUUCUUGGACUUGAUUCUUCAAGAAUUCAACAUACGUCUGUGGCCUUUCCAAUGGAUAUAUAUAUAUAUAUCACCUCCUUCCUAUAUCCACCAUCAUUAUUAAAGAUCAUCCUUUCAAGGGUAGGAAAUCAGGAAAUCCCUUUGGAAACAUCUUGUUAGAGAUUUCUUGUGGCAAGUUUGGCUUGAAUGCAACAAUCGACCAUUCAACAUUAUACAACAACUCCUCUUUUAUAACGCUAAACUUUGAUUUUUCACUCUCGAUUACUAUUAUGUUUUAUCAGAACUUAUUUAUCUAAAUAAUAAAUAGCAUCAUUCAAAAUGAAUCAAAUGGGAUGGAUAGCGAUGAUAAAAUUUCACUAGAUAUAGUUAGCUACCUACUUUGUUGCCUACUUCUACUUGACCAUGGAGAAGAGAACAGUGGAAG